AUGAAGGCGGGAAGGGAUCCCACAAUAUCCAAAUUCGAAGGGAGACAACUUUUACAUGCUAUCCUGACAAAAGUAAUCUUCACCUACAAAAGCCUCUGGUCGUGGCGCCGUGGUGGGCUCGGCGAUGACCUCCAUCCUGCCGUCCUGGCGCUCUUGGUCUUGUUGCACCGGAAUGUAAACCUUUGCCUGAUUCCUCGGGACUCCGCUCCCGCUCUUGCCUCCUUAGCACCAAAGAGGAAACUGGUACACUACGCCCGCUGGCACCCGCCUGGCCUUGGUCGUCAUGGCUCAUGUCAUCUGGACCUCGCGAUAUGA
rnacentral:rRNA from 1 species